rnacentral:rRNA from 2 species
UUGCAUAUCAAUAAGCGGAGGAAAAGAAACCAACAGGGAUUGCCUUAGUAACGGCGAGUGAAGCGGCAAGAGCUCAAAUUUGAAAUCUGGCACUUUCAGUGUCCGAGUUGUAAUUUGAAGAAGGCAGUCUUGGUAGUCAACCUUGUCUAUGUUCCUUGGAACAGGACGUCACAGAGGGUGAGAAUCCCGUGCGAUGAGGAUUGGCUGCUAUGUAAGGCGCUUUCGAAGAGUCGAGUUGUUUGGGAAUGCAGCUCUAAGUGGGUGGUAAAUUCCAUCUAAAGCUAAAUAUUGGCGAGAGACCGAUAGCGAACAAGUACAGUGAUGGAAAGAUGAAAAGAACUUUGAAAAGAGAGUGAAACAGUACGUGAAAUUGUUGAAAGGGAAGGGCUUGAGAUUAGACUUGGUUUUGCUCAAUCAUUUCUCCUUGUGGGAGGUGCUCUUGGCUUUACCGGGCCAGCAUCGGUUUUGAUGGUGGGAUAAUAGCGAUUGAAUGUGGCCCCUCGGGGUGUUAUAGCUUUCGUUGAUACCGCCUAUUGGGACCGAGGACUGCGUCUUUUGACAAGGAUGCUGGCGUAAUGAUCUUAAGCCGCCCGUCUUGAAACACGGACCA